GAUGAACGCUAGCUACAGGCUUAACACAUGCAAGUCGAGGGGAAACGAUGAGAGAGCUUGCUCUCUUAGGCGUCGACCGGCGCACGGGUGAGUAACGCGUAUCCAACCUACCCAUUACAGGGGGAUAACCUUGCGAAAGUAAGACUAAUACCCCAUGGCAUUUUAUGGUGGCAUCAUUAUAGGAUUAAAGAUUUAUUGGUAAUGGAUGGGGAUGCGUCUGAUUAGCUUGUUGGCGGGGUAACGGCCCACCAAGGCAACGAUCAGUAGGGGUUCUGAGAGGAAGGUCCCCCACAUUGGAACUGAGACACGGUCCAAACUCCUACGGGAGGCAGCAGUGAGGAAUAUUGGUCAAUGGGCGAGAGCUUGAACCAGCCAAGUAGCGUGCAGGAGGACGGCCCUAUGGGUUGUAAACUGCUUUUAUAGGGGAAUAAAGUGAGCUACGUGUAGUUUAUUGCAUGUACCCUAUGAAUAAGGACCGGCUAAUUCCGUG
rnacentral:rRNA from 1 species